rnacentral:misc_RNA from 1 species
AAAUUUUGCCUUCUCAGAAGCAUCUCCAUCCUCCAAACCAUUUGUACCACCUUGAUUAAAAUUUGUUGGUUUGAAGGAAGUAACUCCAUUAGUCCUGACUCCGUCUUUACAGUCAUUUGAAUAGUUAUCAAGCUUGGUUUUGUUAUCAGCGUUGUUGGACGAAUGAACAGCAGAGCCUAAACAAACGGCAACCAAGAAGCAUGCAACUCCAGAAAACAGAAUUUCAGCUUUGUUAAUUUUGUCGUCAAGGUAAUAAUUCAAGGUUGUUCCUAUAACA